UUACAAGUUUCCGGAAAAACCUUCACCACCGAAAAAGCGCAAUAAACAAUGUUGCGUCGCGUUCUUUAUUUCGUCUGACAGCUUUAGUGAAAUAACUUAUAUAGGCCUAUUAAUGCAGAGACUUCACGUGUGCGUGUUAGUCGACUGGAUGUUUAACUUGAGCUUCUGGGAAGCGGUUGGACAGGACAGAUAUAAUUGUUUGUUUAAUUUGUCUCUGAUGCGUGGAGCCAUGUCCGCGUUCACUAAUUACAGUCAAGGUUUUGAUUUGUGGCAAUCAGGCUUGUUUAAUCUGCUAAAUCCAGGAUCAGAAUGAACCAGUUCCGCCUUUUCCAUGAGCUGCUGCACUAAGUGUCACUGGGGCCUGUGCGCUGAAGUGUGCGCAACCAAUGCGCUGCGUAUUUCCUCGUUUUGAAGGGCAAUUACUCCCCAUAUUGAAUGCAGAGUGGCUCAGUAUAUUGGGAUUACAGAGGUGGACACCCACAGGGACGGAGGGAUUGUGUUUGUGUGUGUUGCUGCAUGCGCACUCACUGCACGCCUAGUACAAAAUGAUCAGCCAUCUCAGCGCCUGCUCAAGCCAGAGGCCCGACGAUCGGACCUGACUUCACACUAGUGCUCUUUGCAUAAAAGAACGUGUCUACAGUCAUAAUAUUUACUUUGAUAAUGUUUUCACGACACGGCAACUCUGAAGCGGUGAUAUAUGUAUAACUGUCUAAAUAUGACAGUCCAUGUGAUUUGGAAUGUGCCAUGAAUAAGGCUCCUUUUACCCUCUCUCUAGAAUUUUCUCUGAAUAAACAAGAGACUCGGGUCAGGUCC